UGUGUGUGUUUUACACUCUGCCUCUGUAUGAUGCUAAAAACACUUCCAAAAGUUUAGGAGGCACCUACAAAUAAGAAUUUAAACAGAUGCUAACUCUCAACUUUCCCACACAUCAUAAAACCACUUACAUCUGCUACAGAUAAUUAUCUUCCAGUGAUCUCAAACCUGCUGUCUUUCCUAAAAAAUCCAAAGAUUGGUAUGUCUAUUUCACUGUUUAUAUGCAGGAGAGACAAUAACAUUCCAAUAUUGGCCAUAAGAACUGGGAGAGAUGCAGUCCAGAAAAGAAACUUUUCAAGGUUUACAUGAGUCUGGGUUGGUGGAAAUGGACUUUCCUAUCCUCAGACCCUGAAGGUGAAACUUCAAAUUUGGAAAAAUACUAUACAAAUUGCCUAGAAAUGCUUCUCAAUUUGAGGGUUAUCUGCAUUCUCCCCUAAGAAAGUUUUGAGAUUUUAAAAUAACUUAUAAGCAGUCUGCAAAUACAACAAGAAGCUUGUACUGAAUCCUGAAAGGGAUGAGUAACAUGGUCCAAAUGACUGAUAAUCCUAACUACAGAUUGUUGAAUGGAAACCAGAGGAUGAAAGCGAGAUAAUGGAAGACCAGGCAAAAGAAGAUUACGAUAAUCAAGGUGGGAAAUGGCCAAAUAGCUUGGCAAAGAAAUAAGAAAUGAACAGUUUGAUUUUUGGUAAUGUUAUAUAAAAAGAAAUCAACACAACUUGGCUGCUGCCUCAAUAUAAGCAACCAAAAACAAAGAAGGGUAAAAAAUAGAGCCAAAACUAUGUUGGUUCCUUCGCAGAAAAAAUAGUAACACUCUUUUCUGUUAAUAUUUUUAUUGUUGCAAUAUAAGUACAGUGUUAUAUCAAAAUAGAAACAUCCCUAGUAUACUAUAAACAUCUUAUAUUACUUAUGUUAAAUUCACCCCUAAAAUUAUUUCUCCUCUCGCCUCACACAUUAAAAAAACCACAAAACAUAAAAGUAAAAAAUAAAGACAUCUCUAUGAAGAAAUAACUGUCUUCUUACUACUAUGUAAUAUAUAAAGUCUUGAUUUCUGCUGUGUAACUGUGCUAUUAAAUGGGAAAACAUUUAACAGUGUUGAGGAAUGUAUACUAUAAAGUACGUUUGUGGGGAAAAAUAAGUAGUUCUGUCUUUGCCACAUUAAGAUAUCUUGCCAGGUUUGAUGUCAGAAACAUGAGUGAGUAGACAACGUAUGAAAGUAGUACAUGAUAAUUUAUCUACAUAGCUUGCUAUAUGUCCAUGUGAUGUGUUGGAAAACUUGAAACAAUCCCAAUUUUUCAGUGUACUCCAUAAAGCAAAACCACAUGUUUUCAAUAGUUAUAUAUGCUUUCCUCCUUCACCUUUUCCCAUCCCUCCAGGAAUGCAUUUAUGUAUGAAAAUCUAAGACGUGAGGUCCCCCUGGAUGCGAAAGAGAGGAGUUUUGGCAGCCGAUUUAUAGCAUUCGCAGCAUCCCAGCCUAAAGCAGUAAACACUCUUGUAUACCUUUGAGUAUGUGGGAAUGACUCACCCACAUACUGAAGACAGAUGGAAGAACAGAUGCCCUUGGCCCAUCCUAUACGCAAGGCUUUCAGAGUGCACAUCUUAGAAAUUAGAAGUGAAAAAACCUGAAAAUACCAAAGGAGUCGGGGAAUCGUUAAAGACCUUGAAGACUGAUCAAUGAAAUAUUGAAACACACCAUAAUGUUUCUGAUUCUUGCGUUUAUUAUUUCAGAUUUUAUGUGCCCCAGCAGGUGAGACAAAAGAACUUGUGAUGCUUUUUUACUAUGAACAUUUGCAACAAACAGACAUACCUGGAGACUUGUUUUCAUCAAUCGAGGAAUAAUAAUAAUAAUAAUAAUAAUAAUAAUAAUAAUAAUAAUAAUACUUUAUUUUUCUAUCCUGGCACCAUCUCCCCGAAGGAACUCGGGUGGCUAACAUGGGGCGAUGCCCAAAACAAAACAGAAUAAAGCAAUUACAAUGAAUAUCAAAACAAAACAGUAAUAACAUAAAUCAAAUUAAAUAAACAAUUUAAAUAUUUUAAAAAUACAAUAAAACACAUAAAAUCAGAACAAAUGAGUAAUAGUACAACAUCAGCCACUGGAGAUAAAAGGGGUCGGGCAUAUAAAACACAAUAUCCAAAGCUUUAAUAAAGUGUAUAAACAAGUGUCAGAGAGUCAACUGGGAAAAUAUGGGAUAAGGUAAGGUAGGAAGGGAUUAAAGUGCAUGGAUGAAGUUUGCUGGAGUGAGGUUGGAAGUUACACUCUGUAGUAGACAAAUGGUACUGCUUAAUGCUGAUGUAUCUUUUUUAUUUUAUGAACAUCUCAGUGCAAGGGACUUUUGUUAAUGAGAACCCAUCUUAUUAACCCGAGUGUCAAAAAGUUAAUUUUGUGGAUCACAACUUUCAUAAUUUCCCAUGACCAAUGGCUCUGUUGCUGGAAGAUUCUGGGAACUGUAAUAAGAUCCAUCUUACAAGCUCUUGACAUUUCUAUCAUGUCUUAUCUUGAGGAAUCCUCCUCCAGGGAGGAGGAGGAGAGUCAAGAUGAAUGUUCCCAGCAAGAGGAAUUAAAAGAGAAACUGGAUGCUCAUUUUGGCAGCCAUGCUUUAUGGCUAUGAGAGGGUGAUCCCGGGCCCUCCAAAGAGAAUCAUAGAAUCAUAGAAUCGUAGAGUUGGAAGAGACCUCACGGGCCAUCCAGUCCAACCCCCUGCAAGAAGCAGGAAAAUCUCAUUCAAAGAGAGAGAAAACAUUCAAAUCUAUGUUUCUAGCAAAGGAAAAAUAACACAGUUGUUCAAAGAAAAAACCCACAGACUAGAAAGGCCUCCACACUCCAGUGAGAGUGUUGUAGUUCAGCCAGAGGCUGAAGAUGAGGGGAUUGUUUCAUCAGAGGUUGUGAGGACUGAUGGGUUUUCCAGAGAGGGAAAUGGGGGAUUUUAGAUCAGGAUUUAGAUAAGAAAACCCAGGAUUUAGAUAUGAUGCUAUGAUUCCACCUGGGAGAAUGGGCCUGUGUCCGGUGAGAGUGAAACUGCUUCAGAGCAGAGCAGACAGGGAGACGCUGUGGCAUCAGACGUUAAAGAGAUCCUUUCUCCUAGUCAUGCCUUAGCAACAAAAGAUAAGGAGUUAGAAGAGAGAGAACUUUCCCCUGAGAACACACUUGCAGUUAGUAGGAAGUUGAGACUCAGUCUCAGAGAAGGAAGCCAGAUUACGGUGGUCACAACGAAUUCAUGAGGAACAACAGGGUGAGAAAUCCUUGAAGCAACAGAGCAGAUGCCCAAAGCAUGAUUCCAUAGCCUUGUGGUCUUUGAAUUAAAAGAUUGUUUUCUUAAGAGUCAGAUGAGGCAACACCGCAUUACCAUGUAGAUCUUGGGUCUUGUUCAUAUCCAGGUCAAAGACCUUUGGAAAAGUCUGAUACUCAUGUUUAUGGAUUCAUGUUUUGAAAGAAUUUGCUGUAUUCCUGUUUAUGGAUUUGUGCCUAUGUUUUGAUUCCUGGUUGUUUCCUAUAUCUUGUUAUUUUUAAACUGAACCUUGCUGUAUGGACUAUGGCCUUUUGAAGGCCUUCUUCCUAUUGCUGUUUGGACAUUGCAUUUUCAUAUUAUCUUUUUCCUUUUUUAGAUUUGCUUUUCUGAAUAAAUUGUUUAGUUAGUAUCCUUGGACUUCUGUGUGGUGUUGAGUGCAAAGGUGAAUCCAGGCUAAUGUGCAACAGUGAGACAGCAUCAGAAUUAAAAGCAGGUGCCUUUAAACAUUAGCUACAAACAUCACAGGCUGUUAGAUUUAACAUCUGCACUUGUUUCUAGUCCUUCUGCCUACGUAUUAUUGGGCAUCAUUAACUUAUCCGAAACAUCAUUAUAUCCACAUAGAUGUGCACCCUGUUGACCAGGGGGCAUGCCAUUAAGAAAAAAAACAAAACAUGGUGCUGAAGUUUUAGCAUGUGAAGUGUACAAAACAGUGUGAAAAUACAUGUCUUGAGAUAGCUGAGAUUUCAGUAUCUUCUGAAAAUUCACAUUUUGCCAAUAUUUGAAGAUGGUAAAUGCAACACUACAGUUUUCUUGACCAAGUGUGGAAAGAGAAGCUCCUAGUUUUUACAUAAAUUCUGGCCAAUCCAAAAACCUUCAUAUUGCCUGACAGUCACAGUCAAAUGUGCCACACACUCAUAUUCCUAUUUUUCUAAAAAAUAAAGAAAAAAGAAAGAAAAAAGAAGCUCAAAUAUAUUGGGUCAAGUAGUUCACCAAACUAGGGCCCAGAAUGGCUGGGAGUUUUG